rnacentral:tRNA from 1 species
AUCUUUCUAGUAUUAACAUUAGUAUAGGUGACUUCCAAUCACACGGCCUUGGUUAAAAUCCAAGGAAGGAUA